UACGUAGGUGGCAAGCGUUGUCCGGAUUUACUGGGCGUAAAGGGCGUGCAGGCGGUUUGUUAAGUGCAGGGUGAAAGCUCCCGGCUCAACUGGGAGAGGUCCUUGCAUACUGGCAAACUCGAGGGAGGCAGAGGAAAGUGGAAUUCCCGGUGUAGUGGUGAUAUGCGUAGAUAUCGGGAGGAACACCUGUGGCGAAGGCGGCUUUCUGGGCCUUACCUGACGCUGAGACGCG
rnacentral:rRNA from 1 species